UACGUAGGGGGCAAGCGUUGUCCGGAAUCAUUGGGCGUAAAGAGCGCGUAGGCGGCCCGAUAAGUCCGCUGUGAAAGUCAAGGGCUUAACCCUUGAAUGCCGGUGGAAACUGUCGGGCUAGAGUCCGGAAGAGGCGAGUGGAAUUCCUGGUGUAGCGGUGAAAUGCGCAGAUAUCAGGAAGAACACCCGUGGCUAAGGCGGCUCUCUAGUACGGUACUGACGCUGAGACGCGAAAGCGUGGGGAGCGAACAGG
rnacentral:rRNA from 1 species